AUACGUAGGUGGCAAGCGUUGUCCGGAAUUAUUGGGCGUAAAGCGCAUGUAGGCGGUUUGGUAAGUCGGUCGUGAAAAUGCGGUGCUUAACGCCGUAUGGCGAUUGAAACUGCUGAACUUGAGUGCAGGAGAGGAAAGGGGAACUCCCAGUGUAGCGGUGAAAUGCGUAGACAUUGGGAAGAACACCGGUGGCGAAGGCGCCUUUCUGGACUGUGUCUGACGCUCAGAGGCGAAAGCCAGGGUAGCGAACGGGAUUAGAUACCCGGGUAGUCCUGGCCGUAACCGAUGGUUACUAGGUGUGGGAGGUAUCGACUCCUUCCGUGCCGGAGUUAACACAAUAAGUACCCCGCCUGGGGAGUACGGCCGCAAGGCUUAAACUCAAAUGAAUUGACGGGG
rnacentral:rRNA from 1 species